CUGCUGUUGCCAUGGGCGGGGUUGGAGGACCAACAAUGCUACUUGUGGCUGGUGAACCUUAAAAUGUUAAUCGUCUGUUGCUCACACUCCCUGCCGGAUCUGCAGCAUGUACCCGUCUGUUUGCUAUGAGGCACUGACCAGGCCCUGACCUUCUUAGUUUCAGCAAGAUGUAUCAUGUAUCCUCAGACCAGUCCUCAAAAUCAUCAUAUCUGAAUAAUAUCAGAGGCCCCAUCGGAGACCAACAAAGACCUUCUAGUACUUCGUAGAAGUGCUCUGAAAGUAUCUUCAAAAAUCUGCAGAUAAAUGGAUGAUGAGCAGGGUUCUGAAGAUGAAUCUCACCUACGCCCAUUCAUGCCUUUUUGUUCUGGAACAAAUGGAACUUGGAACAAACAGGUCCUAUUUGUUCUACCUCUAUUGCCUACAGACAUCAGUAGUUGGUGGUAUACAAAUAUGUUAAGUAAAUAAAUAUUUGAUUUGAGCUCCAAAACAAAUGCACCCCAUGGCAAGUAGGGCAAAUAGAUUCAAAGCGAAGUGAGACUAUAACUGUGAGACAAUAAAUAUGACUAUAACCAAAUGUGUUGACCUCAGGUAGAUUCCCUUUCCAAUGUGUCCCUGAGUCAAGUAACAAACAAAUAUUAACAUGUCAAAGGAACACAGAUCCAGCAGUUCCCUUCUUAUUACAUGCACAUGAAUUUCUAUAUAAACAACAAAAUGACAAGAUGUCCCCAGUCCAGAGAAUUAUGCUAGGAGGUCCAGACAUUCAAUAAUUUAUGCAACUCACCUUUGCCUUGUACAAUUCAGAAAGAAUGCAUUUUAGCUAUACAGAACUCCCAUUGCAUAUUUAAAUUUGAUUGCAUUUAUGCACAAAUGAGAGGCCUGAUUCACACAAUUGUUUGAAUCUAGGUAUAAUGUGAGUUACCAUCAUUAGCAUGAUUUGUGUGAACCCACACCAAGAUGGUUUAUGGCCCAAGAUAAAUCUGAGAUUCUCACCUUGGUGUCGGUUCACACAAACACGCCAAUGUUGGCAACUUACGUUAAAUCCAGAGUUGAAUGUGGACCAGGUUGUAUGUUCUAAAACAUUUUAGAAAGCUAAUCCUAUACUUAUUUCUGAUAUCCCUCAUAUUGCCCUUCAGCUUUAUGUGUAAAUCUCAUUUAUUUGCUUUGCUACAAGAUCUAAAAUUGAAUGGGGUCAAUUUUACUUUUCUUUAGCUUCUCAGUUACAGUAUAGGAAUGAAACUUCUGAGCUCACUUAUCGAUUUAAUAAGGAAUAUAAAACUGUGGCUUUGAAAGUCUGUAUGGUGAACUGGAGUCACACUAAUUUCCCAAAAGCAAUUGAAUGUGGGGAUGUCUUUGCGUCUGUUUGUAUCUAGCUCUGUAUGGGGCUGCGUGUAUUAUACUUAGGUGGGGUGGAAUCCAGGGCAAAAUAAAAUUGGUUAGACUCAGACUGCAGAAUCUCUCAAAAUCCUAUUCCUUUCUAAACAAGCUAUUCAUAAAAGUGUCAGAUUACAUAAAAGAUAAAUCAGAUCAUUAUCAUCUUUAGUGCAGUGGAGAUACAAUUUAAGAGCAACAGAAACUGGCCUGAACCAGCCCUUAGUCUCUCCUUGGUAUUAUCCUUAAUUUCCCGUCUAUCUGUGGAUAUUAAACUGUCACCAUGUGCUCUGCUGUGAUAUUGGCAAAGAACCAAUCUGAAAAAGAGGAAAAUUCAUAAAAAGACGUUCUAAAAAAGAUCUAUGAUGUGUUAUGACAACAGCUGAUGUCUCAAAGUUUGCCAUAGGCUUUGAUUCAGAGAACAGAUAUUUAAUAAGGGCCUUUUCAUCCUAUAUUAAUUUAGUGCUGCUCUGAAUUUUUGUGAGACUUGAUUUUUAUGAGAAAAUCGCUCUUGGGGGUAUGAAGGGACAGA